GAGGGMAAGYCUGGUGCCAGCAGCCGCGGUAAUUCCAGCUCCAGUAGCGUAUAUUAAAGUUGUUGCAGUUAAAAAGCUCGUAGUUGGAUUUGUGGUGUGUUCUUUUUGUGUGGCUCUCAACUCAGCUUCGGCUUAUUGUCGUUGUUGUUGUUGUUGUCACCAACACAUCAUCCUUGAUGGGAUUUAGAGUCAUUUCGACUUUUUAUUCUCAUCAUCCUUUACUUUGAAAAAAUUGGAGUGAUUCAAGCAGGCGAAUUCAUUUGUUUUUAUUAACAAAUCAUCAAUUUGCUUCUGCACAUGUUAGCAUGGAAUAAUGCAAGAGGACUUGGGUUUUCUCUUUCAUUGGUUUCAGGAAUCCGAGUAAUGAUUGAUAGGGACAGUUGGGGGUGCUCAUAUUCGACGGCCAGAGGUGAAAUUCUUGGAUUCGUUGAGGAUGAACAACUGCGAAAGCAUUCACCAAGGAUGUCUUCUUUAAUCAAGAACGAAAGUUGGGGGAUCGAAGAUGAUCAGAUACCGUCGUAGUCCCAACCAUAAACGAUGCCGACCAGGGAUCAGCGAGCGUUGACUUUGCAUAACCUUUCACUUCUUGUGAUGGUUAUUGCAAAUCUCAUUUAUUUGAAACGACCUCGUUGGCACCUUGCGAGAAAUCACCAGUCUUUGGGCUCCGGGGGGAGUAUGGUCGCAAGGCUGAAACUUAAAGGAAUUGACGGAAGGGCACAACCAGCAGUGGAGCCUGCGGUUUAAAUUGACUCAACACGGGGAAACUUACCAGGUCCAGACAUCAUAAGGAUUGACAGAUUGAAGAUCUUUCUUGAUUUGAUGGUUGGUGGUGCAUGGCCGUUCUUAGUUGGUGGAGUGAUUUGUCUGGUUAAUUCCGUUAACGAACGAGACCUCAACCUGCCAAAUAGGUUGGUGGAUUGUAAUGAUAUUUUAUUUUUUAUGAUUCACGUUGUGGUUUUGUGAUAAUUGUCAUUUUGAUGAUUGUUGCACCCAACUAAAUGAGAUUGGUUUUAUACCUUUCUUUAUUUACAACACUUCUUGGAGGGACUAUCAGUUCGCAUCUGAUGGAGGUUUGAGGCAAUAACAGGUCUGUGAUGCCCUUCGAUGUCCUGGGCUACACGCGCGCUACACUGAUACAUGCAUCAAGCAGUUCAUUGAAAAGUUGGUUCACCUCGAAUCACUUUGACACCUUUGCUGAUAGGCUUGGGGAAUCUUUGAACUUGUAUCGUGAUGGGGAUAGAUGAUUGCAAUUAUUCAUCUUCAACGAGGAAUUCCUAGUAAACGCGGCUCAUCAAGCCGCAUUGAAUACGUCCCUGCCCUUUGUACACACCGCCCGUCGCUGCUACCGAUUGAAUGGUUCAGCAAGCUCUACAGACUGGCUGCCUUUCUUGUCUUUUAUCGGAUGGGAACUUGGUGCCGGGAAGUGGCGCAAACUUGACCAUUUAGAGGAAGCAAAAGUCGUAACAAGG
rnacentral:rRNA from 1 species